AUUGAACGCUGGCGGCAGGCCUAACACAUGCAAGUCGAGCGAGCGGCGGACGGGUGAGUAAUGUAUGGGGACUGCCCGAUAGAGGGGGAUAACUACUGGAAACGGUGGCUAAUACCGCCUACUAUCGGAUCACCCAUAUGGGCUUAGCUAGUAGGUGGGGUAAAGGCUCACCUAGGCGACGAUAGCUAGCUGGUCUGAGAGGGUGAUCAGCCACACUGGUACUGAGACACGGGCCAGACUCCUACGGAGGCAGCAGUGGGGAAGAUUGCACAAUGGGCGAAAGCCUGAUGCAGCCAUGCCGCGUGUAUGAAGAAGGCCUUAGGGUUGUAAAGUACUGUCAGCGGGGAGGCGGUACCCGAAGAAGAAGCAACGGCUAACUCCGUGCCAGCAGCCGCGGUAAUUC
rnacentral:rRNA from 1 species